UACGAAGGGGGCUAGCGUUGUUCGGAUUUACUGGGCGUAAAGCGCACGUAGGCGGAUCGAUCAGUCAGGGGGUGAAAUCCCCAGAGCUCAACUCUGGAACUGCCUUUGAUACUGUCGAUCUGGAGUAUGGAAGAGGUGAGUGGAAUUCCGAGUGUAGAGGUGAAAUUCGUAGAUAUUCGGAGGAACACCAGUGGCGAAGGCGGCUCACUGGUCCAUUACUGACGCUGAGGUGCGAAAAGCGUGGGGGAGCAAAACAGG
rnacentral:rRNA from 1 species